UUCUUCAGAAAAUUAAUUAAAAAAGAUUAAUUAAUUAGAAGGAAUUCAGCAAAUUUAAUUGCUCCGCCUGUUUAUCAAAAACAUGGCUCUUUGCUUAAUAAAUAUAAAGAGUCGAGCCUGCCCAGUGAAUCUUCAACGGCCGCGGUACUCUGACCGUGCAAAGGUAGCAUAAUCAUUUGCCUUAUAAUUGAAGGCUAGUAUGAAUGGUUUGACGAGGGCAAUACUGUCUCCUUUUUAUUUUCAAGAACUUAACUUUUAGGUGAAGAGGCCUAAAUUUUAUUGAAGGACAAGAAGACCCUGUCGAGCUUAAAAGAAAUUAUAGAAGUUUAAUAUACCUUUAGAUAAAUUUCCUAUUAAGCUUUUUAGUUGGGGCGACUGAGGAACAAAAAAAGCUUCUUUUUAGUAAUAAACAAUCACGUUUAGAUCCGAUAAUAGCGAUUAAAGGAAUUAGUUACCGCAGGGAUAACAGCAUAAUCUCUCUUAAGAGACCUAAUCGAAAGAGGGGGUUGUGACCUCGAUGUUGGACUAGAAUAUCCUAAAGAUGC
rnacentral:rRNA from 1 species